AGAGUUUGAUCCUGGCUCAGGACGAACGCUGGCGGCGUGCUUAACACAUGCAAGUCGAACGGAGGUAUUUAUUUCGGUAGAUAUCUUAGUGGCGAACGGGGGAGUAACGCGUGAGGAACCUGACCCACAGAGGGGGAUAACACCUGGAAACGGGUGCUAAUACCGCAUAAGACCACAGUGCCGCAUGGCACAGGGGUCAAAGGAGCAAUCCGCUUUGGGAGGGGCUCGCGUCUGAUUAGCUAGUUGGUGAGGUAACGGCUCACCAAGGCGACGAUCAGUAGCCGACCUGAGAGGGUGAACGGCCACACUGGAACUGAGACACGGUCCAGACUCCUACGGGAGGCAGCAGUGGGGAAUAUUGCGCAAUGGGCGCAAGCCUGACCCAGCAACGCCGCGUGAGGGAAGAAGGCUUUCGGGUUGUAAACCUCUGUCCUUGGUGACGAAACAAAUGACGGUAGCCAAGGAGGAAGCCCCGGCUAACUACGUGCCAGCAGCCGCGGUAAUACGUAGGGGGCGAGCGUUGUCCGGAAUUACUGGGCGUAAAGGGUGCGUAGGCGGUUUAUUAAGUUGGAUGUGAAAUACCCGGGCUUAACUUGGGAGGUGCAUCCAAAACUGGUAGACUUGGAGUGCAGGAGAGGUAAGUGGAAUUCCUAGUGUAGCGGUGAAAUGCGUAGAUAUUAGGAGGAACACCAGUGGCGAAGGCGACUUACUGGACUGUAACUGACACUGAGGCACGAAAGCGUGGGGAGCAAACAGGAUUAGAUACCCUGGUAGUCCACGCGGUAAACGAUGAAUACUAGGUGUUGGAGAAAUUCAGUGCUGCAUGCCGCAGUUAACACAAUAAGUAUUCCGCCUGGGGAGUACGGCCGCAAGAUUAAAACUCAAAGGAAUUGACGGGGACCCGCACAAGCAGCGGAGCAUGUGGUUUAAUUCGAAGCAACGCGAAGAACCUUACCAGGUCUUGACAUACCGCGCAAGGCCCUGGAGACAGGGAGAUCUUUCGGGGCAGAUAGACAGGUGGUGCAUGGUUGUCGUCAGCUCGUGUCGUGAGAUGUUGGGUUAAGUCCCGCAACGAGCGCAACCCUUAUCUUUAGUUACCAUCAUUUGGGGACUCUAGAGAGACUGCCGGUGACAAACCGGAGGAAGGUGGGGAUGACGUCAAAUCAUCAUGCCCCUUAUGACUUGGGCUACACACGUACUACAAUGGCGUAUACAGAGAGAACGCGAAGUGGCGACAUGGAGCAAACCUCACAAAGUACGUCUCAGUUCAGAUUGAAGUCUGCAACUCGACUUCAUGAAGGCGGAAUCGCUAGUAAUCGCGGAUCAGCAUGCCGCGGUGAAUACGUUCUCGGGCCUUGUACAAACCG
rnacentral:rRNA from 1 species